AGUGAACGCUGGCGGUAGGCCUAACACAUGCAAGUCGAACGGCAGCACAGUAAGAGCUUGCUCUUACGGGUGGCGAGUGGCGGACGGGUGAGGAGUACAUCGGAAUCUACUUUUUCGUGGGGGAUAACGUAGGGAAACUUACGCUAACACCGCAUACGACCUACGGGUGAAAGCAGGGGAUCUUCGGACCUUGCGCGAUUGAAUGAGCCGAUGUCGGAUUAGCUAGUUGGCGGGGUAAAGGCCCACCAAGGCGACGAUCCGUAGCUGGUCUGAGAGGAUGAUCAGCCACACUGGAACUGAGACACGGUCCAGACUCCUACGGGAGGCAGCAGUGGGGAAUAUUGGACAAUGGGCGCAAGCCUGAUCCAGCCAUACCGCGUGGGUGAAGAAGGCCUUCGGGUUGUAAAGCCCUUUUGUUGGGAAAGAAAAGCAGCAGGUUAAUACCCCGCUGUUCUGACGGUACCCAAAGAAUAAGCACCGGCUAACUUCGUG
rnacentral:rRNA from 1 species